CCUACGGGAGGCAGCAGUGAGGAAUAUUGGUCAAUGGGCGCAAGCCUGAACCAGCCACGUCGCGUGAAGGAAGACGGCCCUACGGGUUGUAAACUUCUUUUGCAAGGGAAUAAAGUUGGCCACGCGUGGCCUUUUGCAUGUACCUUGCGAAUAAGGAUCGGCUAACUCCGUGCCAGCAGCCGCGGUAAUAA
rnacentral:rRNA from 1 species